ACGUAAGGAACCUGCCUCAAGGAUUGGGAUAACUCCGAGAAAUCGGAGCUAAUACCGAAUAGUUCAUCAGACCGCAUGGUCCGAUGAUGAAAGGCGCUCCGGCGUCACCUUGAGAUGGCCUUGCGGUGCAUUAGCUAGUUGGUGGGGUAACGGCCCACCAAGGCGACGAUGCAUAGCCGACCUGAGAGGGUGAUCGGCCACACUGGGACUGAGACACGGCCCAGACUCCUACGGGAGGCAGCAGUAGGGAAUCUUCCACAAUGGACGAAAGUCUGAUGGAGCAACGCCGCGUGAGUGAUG
rnacentral:rRNA from 1 species